GGUGAACCUGCGGAAGGAUCAUUAUCG
rnacentral:rRNA from 1 species